rnacentral:lncRNA from 1 species
CGUCGCGGGCGCCCGCCUCGUCGGUGUUUGUGCCAACAAAAAUCCAAAAAAAACGGGCAUAUAAAUUACCGUUGGAUCGAGGCAAAGAAUGCGCCAUCGCUGCGCAAAACUAGUCGGCGAGUGCGUCGGACCUGCGGCCCGAUCCUUGCGAUGGCGUGCACGAUGAUUGUAUCGUGAUCGACCAAGGAAAAUACGACCCUCUAGACCGACAUUUCCCCGUCCAUCAUUCCUUUUCGGUCUCUUUUUUUUUACUUUUUUUUAUUGCAUACUGGAUUUUUAUUUUUUUUUUGCGCGCGUACAGCCUUUGUGCGCAGGGACAAAGUCAGACGAAAAAAAGGACAGGGACGGCUGUGCCGGCGGGGGAUCACGGCGGCAAGGCGCCGCGCUUGGCGAGUUGGGCCAGCACCUCGACCGACGGAAAGUACCAGUAGUUGCCGGUGGUCGGCGUGGAAAAGCGCAUGAUCGCGUCGGGCACGGCAUGAGGCGCGCCGGCCAUGCCGGGACCAGAGCCCACCAUCGAACGGCACAUGGCGUCAAGAUGAUGGGUGUCGCCUGCAUAGGCAACGAACAAGAGGCCCGCCUCGCCUGCCGGGUCACCCCACGGCAUGGCCUGACGCACGAUAAAGUAGCCCAGGGCGCUCUGGCGCACGCGCGCCACAUGGGACGACGGCGCCUGGUGCGGCAGCGGCGCCGACUGGGCCUUGGUGCGGCCAAAGACGGCCUCUUGCAUGGAUUGAUUGAGGCCGCGAAAGGCCGCGAGAUCGUGGCGCCACACCUGCGCGAUCGCAUAGGACCCGUUGACGUGCGCUGGGUCCACUGCGGCGCCGAUGAGACCGGCGGCCGCCCUCUGGCCUGAUGGCGCGUUGACCGUGCCGUCGACAAACCCGGUGAGAUCGCGGUUCUGGCCGUCCAGGGCGUUGGUCCACGCGUCCACCGUCUCGACGCCGAGGACGGCAUCGGCUCCCAAUUCUCGAACGACGAGGUCGACCAGCGCGUAGAGGACGUCGCGCCGCGCGGCCUUGACGUGGACAAAGAGGUCGCCCCCGGUGGCGGGCAUGCGCGGCCACCCGCCGACGCCCUCGUAGCCGGGAAAGGCCAGGAUGCCGACGGGCGCCGGCAGAAAGGUGCCCCAGCGCGCCCACAGCGCCGGCGAGAGGCCGAUGCCCGCCACGAGGCCACUGGCGCCGUCGCCCUGUGUUUUCGUGGCCACGGCGGCGACGAGCGUCGAAAAGGAACCGACGACAGCGCGCGCGCGGGCCGAUACAACUGGGUCGUUCCAGGCCGCAGGAGUCAGGUGGAUCGUCGUCCCGACAGCGUUGCGAUCCAGUCCACUGAGGACGCUUCCUUGUGGGUGUACCUGGCACCCAGCGUUGAUGACGAGGGUCGCCAAGAUGGCGGUGCACCAGAGAGCCCCGCCCAGCCGGGAUGACAUUGUCACUAUUGUGCAGGUGGCGAGAAAGAGAAAAAAGUCUUUAAGACGGCGGCCCUCUGCACGCGUCACGGGUAGAGAGAUCGCAACUUUUACUCUUGC